UACGGAAGGCAGCAGUAGGGAAUAUUGGGCAAUGGAUGCAAGUCUGACCCAGCCAUGCCGCGUGCCGGAUGAAGGCCCUCAGGGUUGUAAACGGCUUUUAUUCGGGAAGAAGAGCAGGGAUGCGUCCUUGUGUGACGGUACCGAAUGAAUAAGCACCGGCUAACUCCGUGCCAGCAGCCGCGGUAAUACGGAGGGUGCGAGCGUUGUCCGGAUUUAUUGGGUUUAAAGGGUGCGUAGGUGGCCUAGUAAGUCAGUGGUGAAAUACGGUUGCUCAACAAUCGAGGUGCCAUUGAUACUGCAAGGCUUGAAAUAAUUGGAGGCUGCCGGAAUGGAUGGUGUAGCGGUGAAAUGCAUAGAUAUCAUCCAGAACACCGAUUGCGAAGGGCAGGUGGCUACGAUUUUGUUUUGACACUGAGGCACGAAAGCAUGGGGAGCAAACAGGAAUUAGAUACC
rnacentral:rRNA from 1 species